CCUACGGGCGGCAGCAGUGAGGAAUAUUGGUCAAUGGGCGCGAGCCUGAACCAGCCAAGUAGCGUGAAGGAUGACUGCCCUACGGGUUGUAAACUUCUUUUAUAAAGGAAUAAAGUGAUGCACGUGUGCGCUUUUGUAUGUACUUUAUGAAUAAGGAUCGGCUAACUCCGUGCCAGCAGCCGCGGUAAUACGGAGGAUCCGAGCGUUAUCCGGAUUUAUUGGGUUUAAAGGGAGCGUAGAUGGGUUGUUAAGUCAGUUGUGAAAGUUUGCGGCUCAACCGUAAAAUUGCAAUUGAUACUGGCAGCCUUGAGUACAGUUGAGGUAGGCGGAAUUCGUGGUGUAGCGGUGAAAUGCUUAGAUAUCACGAAGAACUCCGAUUGCGAAGGCAGCUUACUAAACUGCCACUGACAUUGAUGCUCGAAAGUGUGGGUAUCAAACAGGAUUAGAUACCCCGGUAGUC
rnacentral:rRNA from 1 species